AUUGCUGCUGUCUAAAUCUAUGGACUGUUAGGAUCUCUGGAGCGGGUGGUGAUUUCCGCCCCUUCUGUGCGGACACUUCCUUGUUUCUCCCUGUCUGGUCGUUGGGCGCAUUUCGUUCGCGUCGCUGUGACGCGUACAGUGGGUGGCACCACUGUGUGUGUUGCGUUCGCGUUCGGUCGUCUGACGUCUCAUGCACCUGAUUGGGUGCGCGGUCGUCACAUGACCCUUUGGUAUUCUGGGAUCACGCUAGACGCCGUGAGUCAUGUGCUGUGUGACGCGCAGGAGGCGCGUCACCGGCGGCAUGUCCACGGUGUCGUGCCCUGAUUGAUCAGAGCUCGGCCACCUGACGCUGACGUCAGUAGUGGGCGCGCUGUUUGCACGUCAAACAUGGGGAAUUUGGAGGAUAGGAAUCACUUCAGCUGAUCCCCAAAUGUCUAUUUACUGCUCCACCUACAACCAAUUAUUCCAUUCAAGGAACAGCUGUUACACCGCCGGAGUGAAUGGAUCAUCCACACCUGAGGUCCAUCAUCCUCAAAGUAAGUAUAAAGGGUAGUCAGGGGGGGUUUCCCUGUCAGCAUUCACUUUCCUCCCCUCACCUGUUGGAGCUGGAGGUUAUUUUGUCUUCUGGUCAAGUUUGCUUUCCUUUCUUUGACUGGAAUGGCUGUUCACCUUUGAGCUGAUGCAUUGGGAGUGCCAUUAUACUUUUUAUUUGUCCUAUGACUGCUGACUCCUUUGUGGAGACUUAUGUCACUCCACCCCCCCAUGGUUAUGGAGUCCUCUGGAUUGGGGGAUCGUUAUGGACAUUAAGUACACCAUCUGGUUUGGUUGCCCUGAUUGCGGCUUACACACAAGCUCCAUGGGGAUGAUCUAGGCGCUCUGUGUCUGGAAAGGGGAAAAACUCUUGCUGCUUUCUAUUCCCUGA